rnacentral:lncRNA from 1 species
GAGGCUCGUGUCAGUGGAAGCUGGGGUGUCGGCGGGCGGCCGCGGCCGGGUCUAGCGGUGCCUGCGGAAGAAGGAGGAGGAGGGCUGGCGAUGAGAAGCAGCAGGGGGAAUCAAGGGCAAGAAGGGACCCAGAGGGGCAGGUGGCUGAGAUGCUGGCGUCCAGGUGACCCGAGGAAUCCUCUGGAGAUACAGGCCCGCGCAUGCGCGUGCUCGAGCGCUGAAGCCCAUUGCCCGCAGGGCGCUGGACUGGCGCCCCGGCCGGCGAGGCUGUCUAGUCCAGGCUCCAGGCCCCGGCUCUGGCCAGGCGCCGCCGCCUCCCGGUGCAGCUGAAAGUCGACGAAGAGGGCGGGGCGGGGGCGGCUUGUGGACUUCCACACUUUUCCUCUCUUCGGGCCAGUCUGGGGAGAGGGUGGCUAGCUGUGGCGGCGGCCAAUUACGUGGCGGACCUGCGGGGCUAAGCUGGCACGUCACUUCCGACUAGUGGAGUUUUUAGCCUUUUAACAUUCAAGGAUUAGGUAAAAGUCUUGCAGUGAAAAACCCGAGGACCCUUACCGCAAGUGUCUUUUGCUCCCAGCUACUGAUACUGGAUUCCACUCGUGAUUCUCCCUUUCUUAGCGCAUUCAUGAUAUAGACAUCAGUCUCUGAGCUGGAGGAGGACAAAGGCAGCGGUCCUGUGAAUUCUAUGCUCUAGCUUGGGUUAAGGGAUUUGGAAUUGCACUUGUUUCAGAGAGCUCCCUCUUUGCCCACUAGCAGGGCAUUAGCUGGUGCUGAAGACAGUGGCUGCUUGGCGAGCCUGGAUCUCCAAGUGACCCCCUCAGCAACUCCUGAUGAACAGGACUGAAGCCAAUAUUAAAGCAAGUCAACCAAAGGUUCUCUGGUGUAGACAAGACAGCAAAAGGACAGACUACCUUGUGGAACCUAGCAUUGUUCUCCUUCUGCAGCACUAAGUAACAUUUGUUCUCCGUUAAGAUCUUUGCAAACCACACACAAGAAUUGCUGGUCAUCCUGCCAAUAGAUGCUGCUCACAGAACCAAAUUUCCUGUGCUGAAUUGUCACUCAUGGGCUUGAGAGUAGGAGACUGGAGACCAAGGUGGCUAGAAUCCAGUUGGGCCUGAUGUCUCCCUGUUGAAAGGGCUCCUUGUGGAAUGAAUAGCACAUGGCUCCUGUGGUGGAUCUGAUAGUGGCAUAGCACCAAGUGAUGCAGGCCUGCCAGGGGCCACAGACACAGAAGAUGCUCCCGGGGUCCCCCAUGUACUCCAGACACACUGCAGGCCACCUCUCCCAGCAGGUUGCCAGUCAUGGGCCCCAUCAUCAUGACUUCUGUCCAAGGUGUGCUCGGAAAUCUCUUCCUUAACUGUGACUUUCUGACAGGUGGAGGAUGUGGUCAGGAGUGGGAAAAGGAUUCGAGACGGGAAGAGGGAGGGGUUCAGGAUGAAGAGAGAUAAUCUGUGCCACAGAUGCUGGCCCUGCAGUUAGCUCCCACCUAGUCCGUGCACACACAUUCUAAUCCCCUCCCAUUCCUUUACAUGCUGCGGCCAGAGAGGCCUUUCUCAAAGUGGAAGUCUCAUCCUCACUUCUCUGGUUACAGUGCUGGGCCAUGGUAACUUACAAGGCUUAGCAGGAACUGUCUGCGCACUCCCCCUUCCUGCCCACUACCUUGUUUCCCUCCAGUUGCGAGAGAAAACAUUGAUUGAGCAUUAACUAUGUGCCAGGCUUGUCCUAAGUCCUUUGCAUGUAUUCACUCAAACAAUCCUCACAACAUUCCUAUCACAUCUCCCAUUUCACAGUGAGGGUUCUAAAGCACGUAGUGGGUGAGGAACUUGUCCAGGGUCACACAACUAAGUGGGGGUGGAGAAACAUCAAAUCUAGGUGGUCCAGGUGGUGGCCAGAACCCAUCAGCACCUCACUACAGCUGCCUCCAGUUUCUCGCUCUAGGAAAUACUCUUCCCUGUCAACUCCUGUUGUCCUCUGGGCUCAGUUGACAUGUCAUCUCCUUGAGGAGGACAUCCUGAGAUGCUCCCCGACUAGGGUGGGCACCCACUUCCACACUCCAAAUGCCUAUUUGACCUGUGUAUCGCUGCAUCCCCACUGCCUGGCAGAUAGCAGGCCCCUAAUAAAUAUGAUUUGAGCAAAUAAAUAUAGUUCUUCAAAAAAUAGGGAGGACUUCUUGCUUCAGGUAAUGGUAGGCUAGGACAUUUGGACCAACCCUCCUGCAGAAAAUAGCCAUUUAUUUUGAUGCAAUAUAUCUGGCUAUGACUAGAGAUUUCAAAUAUUUGGAGGGCUAUUAUGUGAAGAACUAAACUUACUCUUUGUGACAUAGAGGUCAGAAAUUGGUCGUUUCCAUAGAGUAUGAGAGAGACAGAAUUGUGCUCAUCAUAAGUAUCUUUUUUAAAAGUUAGACUUAAUAAAAUGGGCUGCCUUGGUAGGUGGUGAGUUCUCUGUCACGAAAGAGAUUCAGCCACUUGCUCUGAGAAAGCAUGGAGAAUAUCAACAUUGUAAGGGUCGACCACCUCAUCUCUGAGGCCCCCUCCUCACUUAGGUUGCCAUUGCAGGUGGAACACUGGGCUGAGUGUCAAAGAACCUGGGUUCCACAAGCUGUGCGACCAUGGCUGGUUGUUUUGGAUCUCAUUCCUAAUAUCUGUUAGUUAAGCUGACCCGUCAAUACUGACCCACUUCACAGAGUUAUGAAGGGAUUAAAUUAGGUAUUACAUGUAAAUCUGUUUUGUUUGCUUUUUGUUGUUCUUUUUUGUUUUGCUUUUUUCUUUGCAUUAUGAAAUCCCAAGUCAACUUUUUCCAUUCUUUUAUUUUUUUAAAAAUUGACAUCAUCAUUAUAACCACAAAAUAAUUUUUAAAAUGGAAAAAAAAAACUCACCUGCAACCCCACAAUCUAAUACAAUAAUCAUACUUUUUUCCCUUUAUUCUCCUUUAUUGUGACCAAGGAUGACUUUGGGCAUUGCUGUGAGGAACUAUUUCGUUUAACACCCUACUACCUGAACAUGAUGCGUACUCAGCCUUUCACCACCCCCCAAGUAGCUACACAUGAUGUGAUAAUAGUAUUGGUGGUGGUUUUAGAGAGUUGGAGAGAAAACUGAAGUUGGAUUUGGGUAAAAGAAAAAAGAGUGGGAAUUAUUUUUUCUCCAUUCUAAAGCCCAUAAAGCAAUGUUAAUUGUUCCCACCCCUCUGCUAUUCUGUCUCCUCAGGUACUGUGUGCAGAAAUGUGAUUGAGAUUCAAGUCAGGGCCUCUCUGCCCUUUUCCCUCCAGAAACAAAACCAAGAUAAUUUAUCCUGAACACGGUGAAAAAAGGAAGGGAGGGAGGAGAAAAAGUCCGGGUCUCACCUGGGAUUCUCUGUCUCCUGCAACAUGAAGGAUUUAGCCUGGGAGGAGGUGGUGAGAACUCUGGGAGAGAAAAAAGAAGGAAAGAAUAGUUUUACCCAUGCUGAAGUUAAUUUAAACCUUCACCUAGAGAAGCAAAAAAAAAAAACCCACACUUUCCCAUUUUGUGCCUCCCUUCCUAGAGUUUUAGCCAAAGGUUUAGCUAAGUAAUUGGUUUUACCAGCGCACUCACUCCUCCUAUCCCAAGUCUGUUUGACUCCCUCCCCAUCAUCCUCCUCACCUCUUUUCAGGCAGGGUGGGGAUAGCAGCAGGAGGAGAUUUUGGGAGCCUGGCAACUCCUGCAAGGACCGCAGGACAGCCCCUCUGUGGGGAUGCGUGGUGCCCCAUCUGCCGCCCUUCUGAAGAAUGCACUGCCUUCACUUUUUACUGUGUUAGAGUCCAUCCAGACUGUUCUAUCCAAAAAAGUUUCUUUUUCCCCCACAGGCAAUCAGGAAAUGAUUCCUUUCCCGACUGCUUCUGUCUAGUGCCUGGGAAUCUUGAGUCAAUCCCUCAGUAAGUCAGUGACUAGGGAAAUCCCUCUCUGAGCCUCCCAGUUCAUGUUGCUUAGGGAACCUGAUAUUUUCGUGAAACCUGCCUACACAUGGGCAGCCCAACAGCAGAACAAAUGGUGGUGACCAAAGUGAACAAAGAAGUAUAGUUGUGCCAGCUUCGUAGUUGCCCAUGUGGACAAGUCAGCAGGAUCAGGACACGAGGAAGAGUAAAUGUGAGACAGUCAAUGUGACUUCUGCGAUAAACAGAUUUUUAAACCCCGAAAUUUUGCAAAAUUUUGGUGAAACCUGAACUUUCUUCGUUGCAUAUACUGGCACUAUCUGUACCAUCAUACAACUGUCUCACAUUAAAGCUAUUUUUCUUGGGCACUGAUGAGUAAGGGACUUGCACUUAGGAAUCUGUUACAGUGAGCACAGAAGCAGACCUGUGGGCUCAUAGUCUUCACCCCCCACCCAUAUAUACAAGAUGAACAGAGUGGAGGUUAAACAACUUGACUAAACAACACAGUUCAUGGUAAAGCCCAAGACUGUACCUGCCCAUCCACUGCCUUUUCCAUGUAUCCUGGAACUGAGCAUAGACCUCUUCCCAGGCAGAGCUGACAGCAAGUAAAGGAGAUCAUAAUCAGGGGACCAAACAACUUUGUCUAAAGUGUGAAUGUCACCUAAGGAGAAGCUGUGAGAUCAGAAGGGUGGGGCAGAGGAGCAGACACCAUGAGGGAGAGUCCUUGGGGGUACAUCUGCCAGACUGACACUGUCUGGCCUGGGCAGUGGAGGGGCUAGCAGGAACCACAGGUACUGGUGGUGUGGCUACUACCGUUACAACUGCCUGUGCUUGGACAUGGACCCUCUGCAAUAUGCGGCAGUUUCAUUCAUUGCCCCCUACAUUCUACACCAAGUAGAAAUGGAAGGCAAUUGGAUACUUCACAGACAAGAUCUAAGUGGAGAAGGAAUGCGUCCUGUGGCUGCAGAGAUCCUUGGAGCUUGGAGGGGAGAGCUUGAGCCCCACUGAUGAUGACCUCCCACAGCUCGCCAACUCAGCCCUCCCUAAGUCCCCAUCGGGGGCCAAUUCUCACUCUGGGGUUGGGGGGACUCCACCAUAGCUCAUCCAUCAUAGGGAUGUUGGUAUCUACUGUGGGUUGGGUAGGGCCGAUGUGCUGAGGAUGGCUCCCCCACAAGCAAGAGAUGUGGAUUUGGGGAGCUUCCCAUCUUGUGUUGAAGGAACAUAACUCAGAAUAAUAAGAGCCAACUAUAACAAACCCACAGCCAACAUCAUACUGAAUGGGCAAAAGCUGCAGGCAUUCCCCUUGAAAAGUGGCACAGGAUAAGGAAGCCCUUUCUCACCACUCCUAUUCAAUAUAGUGUUGAAAGUCCUGAUCACAGCAGUCAGGCAACAGAAAUAAUAAAGGGCAUCCAAAUAGGAAGAGAGGAAGUCAAACUAUCCUUGUUUGCAGACAGUAUGAUUCUAUAUCUAGAAAACCCCAUAGCCUCAGCCCAAAAGGUCCUUCAUCUGAUAAUUUCAGCAAAGUUUCAGGAGACAAAAUCAGUGUACAAAAAUCACUAACAUUCCUAUACACAGUCGCCAAGCCAAGAGCCAAAUCAGGAGCACAAUCCCAUUCAUAAUUGCCACAAAAAAGAAUAAAAUACCCAGGAAUGCAGCUAACCAAGGAAGUAAAGGAUCUCUACAAUGAGAAUCACAAACGCUGCUCAAAGAAAUCAGAGAUGACACAAACAAAUGGAAAAACUUUCCAUGCUCAUGGCUAGGAAGAAUCAAUAUCAUUAAAGUGGCCAUACUACCCAAAGCAAUUUAUAGAUUCAAUGCUAUUCCUAUCAAACUAUCAAUUACAUUUUUCACAGAACUAGAAAAAACUUAAAAUUCAUAUGGAACCAAAAAGCCUGAGUAGUCAAGGCAAUCCUAAACAAAAAGAACAAAGGUGGAGGCAUCACAUUACCUAACUUCAAACUACAGGGCUACCAUGACCAAAACAGCAUGGUACUGGUACAAAAGCAGACACACAGACCAGUGGGACAGAAUAGAGAGCCCAAAAAUAAGGCCACAAACCUACAGCCAUCUGAUCUUCAACAAAGUUGACAAAAACAAGCAAUGGGGAAAGGUCUCCCUAUUCAAUAAAUGGUGCUGGGAUAACUGGCUGGCCAUAUGCAGAAGAUCGUAACUGGACCCCUUUUACUAUGUACAAAAAUUAAGAUGGUUUAAAGAGUUAAAACCCAAAAUUAUAAAAAUCCUGAAGAUAACUUAGGCAAUACCAUUCUGGACAUAGGAACUGGCAAAUAUUUCAUGAUGAAGACACCAAAAGCAAUUGUAACAAAAGCAAAAAUGGACAAAUUGGAUUUAAGAGCUUUUUCAUAGCAAAAUAAACAACAGGGCAGACAAUCUACCAAAUGACAGAAAAUUUUUGCAAACUAUGCAUCUGACAAGGGGCUAAUAUCUAGCAUCUAUAAGGAAUUUAAACACAGUUACAGGAAAAAAAAAACCCACUCCAUUAAAAAAUGGGCAAAGGACAUGAACAGACACUUUUCAAAAAAGACAUACAUACAGCCAACUAGCGUGUUAAAGAAAACCUCAAUUAUCACUGAUCAUUAGAGAAAUGCAAAAUCAAAACCAUGAUGAGAUAUCAUCUGCCAGUCAGGAUGGCUACAAAAAAGUAAAAAAAUAAUAGAUGUUGGUGAGGUUAUGGAGAAAAGGAACUUAUACACUUGUUAGGAGUGUAAAUUAGUUCAAUCACUGUGGACAGCAGUGUGGUGAUUCCUCAGAGAGCUAAAAACAACUACCAUUUGACUCACCAAUCCCAUUACUGGAUAUUUACCUAAAGGAAUAUAAAUCAUUCCACCAUAAAGACACAUGCAAGUGUAUGUUCAUUGCAGCACUAUUAACAGUAACAAAGCUGGGCACAGUGGCUCACCUCACGACUGUAAUCCCAGCACUUUGGGAGGCUGAGGUAGGCGGAUCACCUGAGGUCGGCAGUUUGAGACCAGCCUGACCAACAUGGAGAGACCCCAUCUCUACUAAAAAUACAAAAUUAGCCAGGUGUGGUGGCUCAUGCCUGUAAUCCCAGCUACUUGGGAGGCCAAGGCAGGAGAAUUGCUUGAACCCAGGAGGCAGAGGUUGCAGUG